rnacentral:lncRNA from 1 species
AGAAGUGGUAAAGGACAUGUGUGACAACUGAAUGGUAUCCGUUUGUAAAGUUUUUUGCCAGGGGUGGGUAUUUAUUUUUUAAUCGAUAUUUGAGGUUGGGUAAUCAAAUUUUUGGCUUUUUAAUGGUUGGGUCAGCAAAAUUUUUGCCACAAAAAACAUUUCUCUUCGGUGCCACCCCCAACCAUAAAUAAUGACCGGUCCCUUAUCCUUCAAAACGG